GCUCGCGUCAGAUUAGCUAGUUGGAGUGGUAACGGCACACCAAGGCGACGAUCUGUACUUGGUCUGAGAGGAUGACCAGGCACACUGGAACUGAGACACGGUCCAGACUCCUACGGGAGGCAGCAGUGGGGAAUUUUCCGCAAUGGGCGAAAGCCUGACGGAGCAAUACCGCGUGAGGGAGGACGGCUUUUGGGUUGUAAACCUCUUUUAUCAGGGAAGAAUCGAUGACGGUACCUGAUGAAUCAGCAUCGGCUAACUCCGUGCCAGCAGCCGCGGUAAUACGGAGGAUGCAAGCGUUAUCCGGAAUUAUUGGGCGUAAAGCGUCCGUAGGUGGUUUAUCAAGUCUGCUGUCAAAGCGUGCGGCUUA
rnacentral:rRNA from 3 species